ACUCAAAUGAAUUGACGGGGGCCCGCACAAGCGGUGGAUGAUGUGGAUUAAUUCGAUGCAACGCGAAAAACCUUACCUACCCUUGACAUGUACGGAAGUCCGAUGAAAGUCGGAUGUGCUCGAAAGAGAACCGUAACACAGGUGCUGCAUGGCUGUCGUCAGCUCGUGUCGUGAGAUGUUGGGUUAAGUCCCGCAACGAGCGCAACCCUUGCCAUUAGUUGCUACAUUUAGUUGGGCACUCUAAUGGGACUGCCGGUGACAAACCGGAGGAAGGUGGGGAUGACGUCAAGUCCUCAUGGCCCUUAUGGGUAGGGCUUCACACGUCAUACAAUGGUCGGUACAGAGGGUUGCCAACCCGCGAGGGGGAGCUAAUCUCAUAAAACCGAUCGUAGUCCGGAUUGCAGUCUGCAACUCGACUGCAUGAAGUCGGAAUCGCUAGUAAUCGCGGAUCAGCAUGUCGCGGUGAAUACGUUCCCGGGCCUUGUACACACCGCCCGU
rnacentral:rRNA from 1 species